GCCGGGCCGCCCCCGCCGCCGCGCCCGCCCCGCCUCAGCCCAGCGCCCCGACCGCUCACGCCAUGCGGCUCUGGGUGCUCCUCAGCCUGCUGCUGCUGCAGGACGCGCUGCCGCACGUUAUCGGACAGUCUGCAAAAAAUAAGCAUCCAAAAGAACCAGGGGAAAACAAAAUUAGGCCUGUCAAUAAAAAAGUAAAACCCAAAGGCCCCAAAAUGAAGGAGAGGGAAUCUGCUGACUCCCCUUCCAAGUCACAGUCCAUACUGAUGCAGGUGAUGGAUAAAGGUCGCUUCCAGAAGCUCGCUGCCACUUUGAGCCUGUCUGCGGGACAAAGCAUAGAACUGCGCUGCAAGGGGAGCAAUGUUACUUGGAGCUAUCCUUCGUACCUAGACACCUUCAAAGACUCUAGACUCAGUUUAAAGCAGCUUGACAGGUACAGUCAGCUGAUCCUCACAAACUCCACUGCAGCAGACACUGGUGAAUAUAGCUGCUGGCUGCAGCUAUGCAAUGGUAACAAAUGCAAGAAGGAUGAGACUAAAACAGGUUCAACGUACAUCUUUUUCACAGAUAAAGAGGAACUUUUUGUACCUACUCCCAGUUAUUUUGAGAUUGUCUACCUGAACCCAGAUAAACCUGCAGUCAUUCCAUGCCGUGUUACUACUCCUUCAGCAAAAGUAACUCUACACAGGGAAUUUCCAGCAGAAGAAAUUGAAACUGAUGGAACUAAUAUUAUUUAUGAUGUUAAGAAGGGUUUUGUCUACCAGCACCCUACUUCUGAUCACAAAGGUAUUGUCUACUGCAAAGCAGAGUCACAGGGAGCACCUCAGAUUUCCAUCAAGUAUCACCUGCUCUAUGUGGAAGUCCCCAAGGGCCCACCCUCAACCACAAUCGUGGCAUCACCCAAUAGAGCAGAAGUCAGUGAUGGCGUUCAUGUAAUCUGCACUGUUCUUGGGGAGCCAGAUGCAGAUGUGAGCUUCAGCUGGCAGUACCCAGGGCAAGAGUCUGAGAGGCCUGUGAUUAUCCAAAACUUCUGGAGACUAAUAAACAGAGGAACUGGACAUACCACAAGAAUCUCAAAGAGCAUUCUUGUUAUUGAAAAUUUUGAAGCCAGAGAUGCUGGAAACUACAUUUGUAUAGCUCAGAACCUACAAGGAGAAACAACUGUGGCCACUAAAGUGGAACUGAACUGACAGGAAAGGCUUCUGGACCCAUAAUGAACUGUAUGUUAUUUUACAUUUUAACCAGUUAGUUUUUUAUUCAUGUUUAAAUGAAAAUUUUCUCUAUCACCUUCUUUUUGUCUGUCCACACAUUCCAUUUUCACUAGCUUGACAGGCCAAACAUCUGGCAGUAGUCAAUUAUGAGUUAAAAAUACUAUAAAGUGUUAAACUUUAAGCCUGAACAUGCACAGGGCUUAUAAUGUUUAGGAAUAGGUGCUCUUGAGCUUUGCAUAUGGUCUUUUUCUCAAACUCCUACAAGAUUAACCUGCCGUAUGGUUUGUGCCUUCUUCCUCUGUGAAAACUGAGAGGAUAUAAAAACUCCACCAGUGCAGGCAUCUCUCUUUCUGGUGCUGUGCAAUUUUUAAAGUUUAGAAUACUGUACAUGAUUAAAAAAAUCAUAUAGAACUAGCCAAUAGCAAUGUUUAUUUUGUAAGAAUAAUUAAAAUAAUUAACAGUAUAAAACAGUAAACGUGUACAUGUGUGUGUUCAUUUUUCCUAUGUAUAAGGAUACAAACCACAAUAUUCUUAGUCCUGGGGAAGACUAGUAAUAAAUAUUAAAGUAUUAGAGGGUGUCUCCGGAGACUUGUAAGUGGUUGAAUACGUUAGAUUUUUUUGCUCAUGUUGUAGCAUUCUUACAACUUUGUAGUUUUGUUUACAGUUCAUUCCUCAAUAGAUGUAGUAAUGUAGCAUUGUUUUUGUUUGCUAAAAGUAACAAUUGCAUUUAUUUAUACAGUAUCAUUUACAGAAGAAAAAAAUGAUUAGAAUAAUGUUCGAUUAUACAGCAGAUCUCUUCUCAGGUUAAGUUUAAUUUGAUUGCAUUAAUUUACCUCGGAGGAAAGGAAAGAUGUUUGAUUUACACAACAGUAUCUGGAUAAACAAUCAACUGCUUCUCUCACCAUGAAUUAAGUUCCCACUGCAAGGAAAGAGCCUUUCCAGAGAAAAGGCAGCCCAAAGUUAUUUCCUUGUUGUCAGGCAACUGCAGUUUUGAAGAGCAGUGGUUACUUGCUGUCUAGAAGGAAUUUCCUGCACAAAUGGCCUGAUACCAGGUUACAUGCAAGUAUCCGUGGUGUUUGUCAUGAAAAACCAGUCUUCAAUUAGCAUAAGGAAAUGAUUCAGCUCAAGUUUUACUGCAAGUGUGGUGUAACUCAAAAAACACACACUUUUAGAGAAAAGUAUUGCAGUGGCAUGAAACGUGUUAUGGAUAGUUUGAAAUGACAGACUAUGUGGUACAGUUACAAGUGUCACUGACUUCCUAUGAAACUUAUCAUUUGAGAUAGUUAAGGUGGAGUAGC